GAUCAAAUGAAGUGUAGACUUAGCAAACAUUGAUUUUGACUAAAACUGACUGAUUUUGGCCAAGGAUUUGACUAAAGCUUUUUCCUCCCCCUCAAACCCACGUCCAACCAUUACCUAUGAAUUUUCUGAGGUGGGAGUAAUCCAACAUCAUCCUCCACGUUGUGGAUCAAAAUAGCAAACUCGGCUACAACAUAUGGCUAAGGCCAGCAACCAAAACUACACCACCAAUCUUUCUGCAUUUAUUUUCCUUUUGAAAUCAAUGAGCAAAUCUAUGAAAAAGAAAAAACAUUGUAAUCAAAAUCAUGAUGCUGUUGUUAAUUAAACCAGGGAAAUAAAUUU
rnacentral:lncRNA from 1 species